rnacentral:misc_RNA from 1 species
UAUCGAGAGGCUGGGCCAGAGUU